GUCGACAGAGUUUGAUCCUGGCUAGGAUGAACGCUGGCGGCGUGCCUAAUACAUGCAAGUCGAGCGAAUGGAUUGAGAGCUUGCUCUCAAGAAGUUAGCGGCGGACGGGUGAGUAACACGUGGGUAACCUGCCCAUAAGACUGGGAUAACUCCGGGAAACCGGGGCUAAUACCGGAUAACAUUUUGAACUGCAUGGUUCGAAAUUGAAAGGCGGCUUCGGCUGUCACUUAUGGAUGGACCCGCGUCGCAUUAGCUAGUUGGUGAGGUAACGGCUCACCCAGGCAACGAUGCGUAGCCGACCUGAGAGGGUGAUCGGCCACACUGGGACUGAGACACGGCCCAGACUCCUACGGGAGGCAGCAGUAGGGAAUCUUCCGCAAUGGACGAAAGUCUGACGGAGCAACGCCGCGUGAGUGAUGAAGGCUUUCGGGUCGUAAAACUCUGUUGUUAGGGAAGAACAAGUGCUAGUUGAAUAAGCUGGCACCUUGACGGUACCUAACCAGAAAGCCACGGCUAACUACGUGCCAGCAGCCGCGGUAAUACGUAGGUGGCAAGCGUUAUCCGGAAUUAUUGGGCGUAAAGC
rnacentral:rRNA from 1 species